rnacentral:rRNA from 1 species
UACAGAGGAGCCAAGCGUUGUCCGGAUUGACUGGGCGUAAAGCGCACGCAGGCGGACGCGCGCGUGGGGUGUGAAAUCUGGCCGCUUAACGGCCAGGCGCCAUCCCAUACGGCACGUCUGGAGGCUUGCAGAGGUCGAUGGAAUUGCCGGUGUAGUGGUGAAAUGCGUAGAGAUCGGCAGGAACACCCAGGGGGAAACCAGUCGACUGGGCAAGUGCUGACGCUGAGGUGCGAGAGCGUGGGGAGCGAACCGG